UUGCCAAUGAUGGUUAUGAAUUUCUUCAUCUGAAUAAGUCAUGUGGUCAAGUUGUAACUGAGGCAAA